GACGGAAGGUGCAAGCGUUGCUCGGAAUCACUGGGCGUAAUGGGUGCGUAGGCGGCUUGGUAGGUCUGGUGUGAAAGCCCCGGGCUCAGCCCGGGAAGGGCACUAGAAACUGCCAAGCUAGAGUGCCGGAGGGGAGAGUGGAAUUCCUGGUGUAGCGGUGAAAUGCGUAGAGAUCAGGAGGAAUACCGGUGGCGAAAGCGACUCUCUGGACGGCAACUGACGCUGAGGCACGAAAGCGUGGGGAGCAAACAGG
rnacentral:rRNA from 1 species